GGAGGAGUCGGAUAGUGGUUUAUUCCACCGGUCUUGAAAACCGGCAACCCGCAAGGGUACGUGGGUUCGAAUCCCACCUCCUCCG
rnacentral:tRNA from 1 species